UCUGUAGCUCAGUUGGUAGAGCAGGGGACUGAAAAUCCCCGUGUCGUUGGUUCGAUUCCGACCGG
rnacentral:tRNA from 1 species